CCUACGGGAGGCAGCAGUAGGGAAUUUUGCGCAAUGGGCGAAAGCCUGACGCAGCAACACCGCGUGAAUGUUAAGCCCUUCGUGGUGUAAAGUUCUGUCAAUAGGGACGAAUUUUGACUGUACCUAUAAAGGAAGCACCGGCUAACUCCGGGCCAGCAGCCGCGGUGCUACGGGGGGUGCAAGCGGUGUCCGGAAUCCUUGGGCGUAAAGCGUUCGUAGGCGGCACGGUAAGUCUGAUGUUACAGCCCGGGGCUCAACACCGGUUCGGCAUUGGACACUAUCUCGCUCGACUGUGGUAGAGGUAACGGGCAUUCCUGGUGUAGCGGUGAAAUGCGUCGAUAUCAGGAGGAACAUCGGUGGCGACAGCGCUUUACUGGACCAUGAUUGACGCUGAGGAACGACAGCCAGGGGAGCAAAUGGGAUUAGAUACCCUGGUAGUC
rnacentral:rRNA from 1 species